rnacentral:rRNA from 1 species
CGGCCUACCAAGGCGACGAUACGUAGCCGACCUGAGAGGGUGAUCGGCCACACUGGAACUGAGACACGGUCCAGACUCCUACGGGAGGCAGCAGUAGGGAAUCUUCCGCAAUGGGCGAAAGCCUGACGGAGCAACGCCGCGUGAGUGAUGAAGGUCUUCGGAUCGUAAAGCUCUGUUGUUAGGGAAGAACAAAUGUGUAAGUAACUGUGCACAUCUUGACGGUACCUAACCAGAAAGCCACGGCUAACUACGUGCCAGCAGCCGCGGUAAUACGUAGGUGGCAAGCGUUAUCCGGAAUUAUUGGGCGUAAAGCGCGCGUAGGCGGUUUUUUAAGUCUGAUGUGAAAGCCCACGGCUCAACCGUGGAGGGUCAUUGGAAACUGGAAAACUUGAGUGCAGAAGAGGAAAGUGGAAUUCCAUGUGUAGCGGUGAAAUGCGCAGAGAUAUGGAGGAACACCAGUGGCGAAGGCGGCUUUCUGGUCUGCAACUGACGCUGAUGUGCGAAAGCGUGGGGAUCAAACAGGAUUAGAUACCCUGGUAGUCCACGCCGUAAACGAUGAGUGCUAAGUGUUAGGGGGUUUCCGCCCCUUAGUGCUGCAGCUAACGCAUUAAGCACUCCGCCUGGGGAGUACGGUCGCAAGACUGAAACUCAAAGGAAUUGACGGGGACCCGCACAAGCGGUGGAGCAUGUGGUUUAAUUCGAAGCAACGCGAAGAACCUUACCAAAUCUUGACAUCCUUUGACCGCUCUAGAGAUAGAGUUUUCCUCUUCGGAGGACAAAGUGACAGGUGGUGCAUGGUUGUCGUCAGCUCGUGUCGUGAGAUGUUGGGUUAAGUCCCGCAACGAGCGCAACCCUUGAACUUAGUUGCCAUCAUUCAGUUGGGCACUCUAAGUUGACUGCCGGUGACAAACCGGAGGAAGGUGGGGAUGACGUCAAAUCAUCAUGCCCCUUAUGAUUUGGGCUACACACGUGCUACAAUGGACAAUACAAAGGGCAGCGAAACCGCGAGGUCAAGCAAAUCCCAUAAAGUUGUUCUCAGUUCGGAUUGUAGUCUGCAACUCGACUACAUGAAGCUGGAAUCGCUAGUAAUCGUAGAUCAGCAUGCUACGGUGAAUACGUUCCCGGGUCUUGUACACACCGCCCGUCACACCACGAGAGUUUGUAACACCCGAAGCCGGUGGAGUAACCAUUUUGGAGCUAGCCGUCGAAGGUGGGACAAAUGAUUGGGGUGAAGUCGUAACAAGGUAGCCGUAUCGGAAGGUGCGGCUGGAUCACCUCCUUUCUA